rnacentral:lncRNA from 1 species
CUUUUUAGCUCACCUGGCCCGAAGGGCCAAGUGAGCUUUUCUCAUCACUUGGCGUCCGGCGUCCGUCGUCGUCCGUCGUCGUCGUCCGUCGUCGUCCGUCGUCGUCCUGCGUUAACUUUUACAAAAAUCUUCUCCUCUGAAACUACUAGGCCAAAUUUAACCAAACUUGGCCACAAUCAUCAUUGGGGUAUCUAGUUUAAAAAUUGUGUCCGGUGACCCCGCCAACUAACCAAGAUGGCCGCCAUGGC